rnacentral:rRNA from 1 species
UACGGAGGUGGCAAGCGUUGUUCGGAAUUACUGGGCGUAAAGGGCGCGUAGGCGGCUUGGCAAGUCAGAUGUGAAAGCCCCGGGCUCAACUCGGGAAUCGCAUCUGAAACUGCCUUGCUUGAGUCCUGGAGGGGGUAGUGGAAUUCCCAGUGUAGCGGUGAAAUGCGUAGAUAUUGGGAGGAACACCGGUGGCGAAGGCGGCUACCUGGACAGUGACUGACGCUGAUGCGCGAAAGCUAGGGGAGCAAACG